UGUAGCUUGGCAUUUGAGCAGAGAUG
rnacentral:piRNA from 1 species